rnacentral:rRNA from 1 species
AUUGAACGCUGGCGGCAGGCCUAACACAUGCAAGUCGUGCGAGCGGCGGACGGGUGAGUAAUGCAUGGGGAUCUGCCUGAUGGCGGGGGAUCACGACUGGAAACGGUAGCUAAUAACGCAUACCAUCAGAUGAACCCAUAUGGGAUUAGCUAGUAGGUGAGGUACCGGCUUACCUAGAAAACGAUCCCUAGCUGGUCUGAGCGGAUGAUCAGCCACACGGGAACUGAGACACGGCCCAGACGCCUACGGGAGGCAGCAGUGGGGAAUGUUGCACAAUGGGCGCAGGCCUUAUGCGGCCAUGCCGCGUGUAUGAAGGAGGCCUUCGGGUUGUAAAGUACUUUCAGUCGGGAGGCGUAACCGGCAGAAGAAGCACCGGCUAACGCCGUGCCAGCAGCCGCGAUAAUAC